rnacentral:tRNA from 1 species
GCGGAUGUAGCCAAGUGGAUCAAGGCAGUGGAUUGUGAAUCCACCAU